AGAGUUUGAUCAUGGCUCAGAUUGAACGCUGGCGGCAUGCCUUACACAUGCAAGUCGAACGGAUUCUGGGGCUUGCUCCAGAGUUAGUGGCGAACGGGUGAGUAAUGCAUCGGAACGUGCCCAAUCGUGGGGGAUAACGUAGCGAAAGUUACGCUAAUACCGCAUACGUCCUGAGGGAGAAAGCAGGGGACUCGCAAGAGCCUUGCGCGAAUGGAGCGGCCGAUGUCGGAUUAGCUUGUUGGCGGGGUAAAAGCCCACCAAGGCGACGAUCCGUAGCUGGUCUGAGAGGACGACCAGCCACACUGGGACUGAGACACGGCCCAGACUCCUACGGGAGGCAGCAGUGGGGAAUUUUGGACAAUGGGCGAAAGCCUGAUCCAGCCAUGCCGCGUGAGUGAAGAAGGCCUUCGGGUUGUAAAGCUCUUUCGGACAGAAAGAAAUCGGUUGGGCUAAUACCCCAACUGGAUGACGGUACUGUAAGAAGAAGCACCGGCUAACUACGUGCCAGCAGCCGCGGUAAUACGUAGGGUGCGAGCGUUAAUCGGAAUUACUGGGCGUAAAGCGUGCGCAGGCGGUUACAUAAGACAGAUGUGAAAUCCCCGGGCUCAACCUGGGAACUGCGUUUGUGACUGUGUGACUAGAGUACGGCAGAGGGGGGUGGAAUUCCUGGUAGCAGUGAAAUGCGUAGAUAUCAGGAGGAACAUCGAUGGCGAAGGCAGCCCCCUGGGCCUGUACUGACGCUCAUGCACGAAAGCGUGGGGAGCAAACAGGAUUAGAUACCCUAGUAGUCC
rnacentral:rRNA from 1 species